UCCCUGGUGGCUCAGAUGGUAAAGCAUCUGCCUGCAAUGUGGGAGACUCAGGUUCAAUCCCUGGGUUGGGAA
rnacentral:tRNA from 1 species